rnacentral:rRNA from 1 species
AUACGUAGGUGACAAGCGUUAUCCGGAUUUACUGGGCGUAAAGGGCGUGUAGGCGGUCUUGCAAGUCAGAAGUGGAAUUCCUGAGCUCAACUCGGGCGCUGCUUCUGAAACUGCAGGACUUGAGUGCUGGAGGGGAUAGCGGAAUUCCUAGUGGAGCGGUAAAAUGCGCAGAUAUUAGGAAGAACACCGGUGGCGAAGGCGGCUAUCUGGACAGUAACUGACGCUGAGGCGCGAAAGCGUGGGGAGCAAACAGGAUUGGAUACCCUGGUAGUCCACGCUGUAAACGAUGAAUACUAGGUGUAGGGGGUAUCGACUCCCUCUGUGCCGCAGUUAACACAAUAAGUAUUCCGCCUGGGGAGUACGGCCGCAAGGUUGAAACUCAAAUGAAUUGACGGGG